GACGAACGCUGGCGGCGUGCUUAACACAUGCAAGUCGAACGGAAAGGCCCCUUUGGGGGUACUCGAGUGGCGAACGGUUGAGUAACACGUGAGUAACCUGCCCUUUACUUCGUGUUAACUUCAGUAAACUGGGGCUAAUACCUGAUAGGAAUCCUUGCUGCUUGGUGGGGGUUGGAAAGCUUCGGCGGUUUUGGAUGUACUGGCGGCUUAUCUGCUUGUUUGUGGGGUAGUGGCUUACCAAGGCUUUGACGGGUAGCCGGCCUGAGAGGGCGACCGGCCACAUAGGGACUGAGAGACGGCCGAGACGCCGAAGGGAGGCAGAAGUGGGGAAUAUUGCACAAUGGGCGGAAGCCUGAUGCAGAAACGCCGCGUGCGGGAUGACGGCCUUCGGGUUGUAAAACGCUUUCAGCAGGGGAGAAGCUUGUGGUGACGGUACCUGAAGAAGAAGCACCGGCUAACUACGUG
rnacentral:rRNA from 1 species